rnacentral:misc_RNA from 1 species
AUCCCAUCCAUUUUAUAUAGAACUAAUUCUUAUCUCAAUGUUGUACUACCCAGGUAUUUAAUCCUGCUUCAAACUCUAGAUAUUCAUGAAAGUGCAGUGCAUGAGAAUAUCUCUCAUAUUUCAUCAAUCAAGAAAGCGCAAUACAUGUCUGAUAUUUUAAUUGUUUACAUACCACAAGGAAACCUCCACUCUUAAAUUUCCA